UUGACUAUUAUCAUGGUCGCUCAGACGCCGGUUGACACGGGGGGUUUGGGGGGGCUCUGGCGGGCGCGCGCCCGGGGGGGGGCAGCCCGCCAAAGCAACGGCGUAGGUACUCAGGGUGGGAGGUCGACCCCGGGGGGCACGAGCUCGGUAAUGAUCCUUCCGCAGGUUCACCUACGGAAA
rnacentral:misc_RNA from 1 species